CUUAGGCUCUUCUAGACAGUGACAGUUUUUCAGACUUUCUUUGUUUAGAUGACCUUGACAAUUUUCAGGAAUGCUCUUCAGAUAUUUUGUUGAAUGUCCCACAGUUGGAAUUUGUCUGAUGUUUUACUCUCACGAUUAGACUGGGGUUUAUGGGUUCUUGGCAGGAAGAACACAGAGGUAGGGUGCCAUUUCUCAUUGUAUCGUAUCGAGGGUACACGUGAUCAACGUGACUUGUCACUGAUGAUGUUCAGUUGGAUCACGUGUCAUAGGUUGUGUUUGCCAGGUUCCUCCGCUGUAAAGUUACCCUCUCCUUGCGACUGUCCUGUAAUCGUUGGAAGGAAGUCACUGUGCAGCUCACAUAUAAGGGGUGGGGAGUUAUGCCCCACUCACGCAUUUUGGUAUGUGGACUGUCAGGCACUUCAUACCCACUACAGCAGCCAAGUGCUUACAACAAUAUACCCGCAGCAAGAGCAAACACAGUAACUGUGGACGGUAAAGAAAGAAGAAACCUCUGAAGCUGUGCAUUUGGUAUCCCUCCUGGACCAGUUUGAAAACCACUAAUCUCAGAGAGCCUUCCAGGGCUGUUACUACUUCAGAUUAAGACUGAAACUAUGAUCUGUUCAGUCUUCAAGAGCAGCACCAGCACAGAGAAGUAACAAGAUAAAAAUAACAAAUAAAUAACACAAAACAGACAUUUGAACAAAAACUACCAUAUAAUUUCCUUUACAAUGACUGCUAUUGGGAAGAAUAGUUAACAAAGAGGACAAAGAAUGAGUUCCUGAAAAACUGAAACUGAGCUUCAAAUGAAUGGAAUGUGACCUUAUACAUACUUAUUCCAAACUACCUGGUAAUCUUCAGCUACCUAAGAAAAAUUACCAGACGUUUUUCAAAGAAAUUAAGGCCAUACAAGCCUGCACUUCAUUGCCAUUCUUUGCAAUUUUGAUUCACAGUCAUUUGUGGAGUACUGUAAAACUAUUGUUAAAUAAGGACUGCUUACACUGUUUAAACAGUAUUUCUCAGUAUCUACCUGCUUCUGUAAUUACACUGUAAUUAUUUUUUAUUGUUGAUGGUAAAAUAUGUAGCAUAUUUCCCAGGUGGAAUUCUCAUUGCUGGUCUGUUUUAAAAUACUGUUGUUUGGGGGAUAUUCUGUAUGCUAAUUAACAUUGUUCUCAUAUACCUUUGGUCUUAGAGAGCCCUGUUAAUUUUAGGACAUUAAAGGAGAAAAGACUUCACUAAAAAUGCCUCACUUUAUGACAUUAUGAUGGUCUCUAUUUACAAAUGAAUUUUUACUGAAAUGUAAGCUACUCUUAAAGAAAAUGUCUGAGGAAUUUUAAAGCU